rnacentral:rRNA from 1 species
GUGGGGAAUAUUGGACAAUGGGCGAAAGCCUGAUCCAGCCAUGCCGCGUGUGUGAAGAAGGUCUUCGGAUUGUAAAGCACUUUAAGUUGGGAGGAAGGGCAGUAAGUUAAUACCUUGCUGUUUUGACGUUACCAACAGAAUAAGCACCGGCUAACUUCGUGCCAGCAGCCGCGGUAAUACGAAGGGUGCAAGCGUUAAUCGGAAUUACUGGGCGUAAAGCGCGCGUAGGUGGUUUUGUAAGUUGGAGGUGAAAUCCCCGGGCUCAACCUGGGAACUGCCUCCAAAACUGCAUGACUAGAGUACGGUAGAGGGUAGUGGAAUUUCCUGUGUAGCGGUGAAAGGCGUAGAUAUAGGAAGGAACACCAGUGGCGAAGGCGACUACCUGGACUGAUACUGACACUGAGGUGCGAAAGCGUGGGGAGCAAACAGGAUUAGAAACCCGAGUAGUCC